GACGAACGCUGGCGGCGUGCUUAACACAUGCAAGUCGAACGGAAAGGCCCUGCUUGCAGGGUACUCGAGUGGCGAACGGGUGAGUAACACGUGGGUGAUCUGCCCUGCACUUCGGGAUAAGCCUGGGAAACUGGGUCUAAUACCGGAUAGGAGCCAUUUUUAGUGUGAUGGUUGGAAAGUUUUUUCGGUGUAGGAUGAGCUCGCGGCCUAUCAGCUUGUUGGUGGGGUGAUGGCCUACCAAGGCGGCGAAGGGUAGCCGGCCUGAGAGGGUGGACGGCCACACUGGGACUGAGAGACGGCACAGACACCGACGGGAGGCAGCAGGGGGGAAUAUUGCACAAGGGGCGCAAGCCUGAUGCAGAGACGCCGCGGGGGGGAUGACGGUCUUCGGGUUGUAAACUACUUUCGCUAGGGACGAAGCUUUUUGUGACGGUACCUAGAGAAGAAGCACCGGCUAACUACGUG
rnacentral:rRNA from 1 species